UGAGCCUGGAAACCUAGGUUGGUAGUAGAACCUUUGGCAUUCGUGGAAACAGCCUUGCGUUUGACAGAAAAUACAUUGGUUUGCGACGUCAUACAAUCGCUAUGACAGAUUGACAGUUUGUUUCAUUUAGGAUGUAGCGUAUAAUGUAGACUCUUGAAGUCGUCCAUCCAACAAUAAAAUGAAAAAAGUUAUAAAAAUUGUGCUUCAAAAUAGUGGUUGUAGCAUUAUAGAGAUAUCACAGGCUGUCAAUAUCGCUUGCGAGUCGGCUCAACGUAUUUCAGUAAAUGUUUUGGAAUUAAGAUACUUCUGAUUUCUUGAUAUGCGCUCUGGGUAACAUGACAUGUGUUUAUUAUCGCAAAAAGUAAUUCGCUGAAGCUUCUCAAGGACUACCCUAGAAGGUAUGUAUAUUAAAAUUUAUUAUGUUGGGAAGCUCUAUUGAGCUCAAAGACAGCCUAUUUCAAAUAAGAAACAUUAAAAAAUUCGAGCAAAAGCUUCAUUAUAAGCAAAUUAAAAAAAAAAAAUAGUUUAUAAUUAUUAAAU